GAUGACGGCCUUCGGGUUGUAAACCUCUUUCAGUAGGGAAGAAGCGAAAGUGACGGUACCUGCAGAAGAAGCGCCGGCUAACUACGUGCCAGCAGCCGCGGUAAUACGUAGGGCGCAAGCGUUAUCCGGAAUUAUUGGGCGUAAAGAGCUCGUAGGCGGUUUGUCGCGUCUGCCGUGAAAGUCCGGGGCUCAACUCCGGAUCUGCGGUGGGUACGGGCAGACUAGAGUGAUGUAGGGGAGACUGGAAUUCCUGGUGUAGCGGUGAAAUGCGCAGAUAUCAGGAGGAACACCGAUGGCGAAGGCAGGUCUCUGGGCAUUAACUGACGCUGAGGAGCGAAAGCAUGGGGAGCGAACAGGAUUAGAUACCCCUGGU
rnacentral:rRNA from 1 species